UACGUAGGGUGCAAGCGUUGUCCGGAAUUAUUGGGCGUAAAGAGCUCGUAGGCGGUCUGUCGCGUCUGCUGUGAAAACCUGGGGCUUAACCCCGGGCCUGCAGUGGGUACGGGCAGACUAGAGUGUGGUAGGGGAGACUGGAAUUCCUGGUGUAGCGGUGAAAUGCGCAGAUAUCAGGAGGAACACCGGUGGCGAAGGCGGGUCCCUGGGCCGUAACUGACGCUGAGGAGCGAAAGCGUGGGGAGCGAACAGG
rnacentral:rRNA from 1 species